GGGGAAAAAUUAAACAAAAAAAAAUAUAAUAAAAAAAUUUUUAAAUUGAAGAUUCUUAAAUAUUUUAAUGGGGGUUAAAGUAUAUUAAUAGAAAAAAUUUAAAUUUUUAUAGGAAAUUAGUAUUGUAAAAGAAAUUUGAAAUAAAUUAAAUAGAAAUUUAUUUGAAAGUAAUUUUAAUUUGGUGUAUCUUGUGUAUCAGAGUUUAUUAAAGAAAAUUUUUAGGGGGAAAAUUCUCGAAUUUAGGAGAGAUAAUUAAUUAAAAAAGUUAUUGUUAUAUAAAUAUUUUUAAUAAUUAAUUUGAAAUGAGAUGUUAAUCGUUCUUAAAAAUAUCUAGUUUUUUUAGAAAAAAAUUAAAUUUAAAAUUUAUAAAAUUAUUUAAUUAAUUAAUAAAUUAAAUAAUAUUUAUAAAUUUAAUAUUUAAAGGGAUAAGCUUUUAAUUAAAAAAAUAUAAUUAAUAAUUUUGUUAAUUGAAAAUUAUAUAAUUUAUAUUGUUAAAAAAUUAUAAUUUAUUAUAAAUAAUUUCAAUUUAUUAAUAAAAUUUAAUUUAAUUUAUUUUUAUAUAAAUAAAAAUUUUUAAAUAAAAUAAAAAUAGUUAUUAUGAUAAAAUUAGUAUAUAAUAAUAAAAUAAAAAUAAUAAUUAAGAAAAUUAUUUUUAAGGAAUUCGGCAAAUAUUUAUACUCACUUGUUUAUCAAAAACAUGUCUUUUUGAAAAUAAUAUAAAGUCUAAUCUGCCCACUGAUUUAUUAUUGAAGGGCUGCAGUAUUUUGACUGUACAAAGGUAGCAUAAUCAAUAGUCAUUUAAUUGGUGACUUGAAUGAAAGAUUGGAUGAAGUAUAAACUGUCUUUAUUGUAAAUUAUAAAAUUUAAUUUUUAAAUUAAAAAGUUUAAAUAAAUUAAAAAGACGAGAAGACCCUAUAGAGUUUUAUAGAUAAUUUAAAUUAAAAUUAUUUAUUAAUAAAAAUUUUUAAUUUUAUUAUUUAUUUUGUUGGGGUGAUAGAAAAAUAAAAAUAACUUUUUUUAAUGAAUUUAACAUAGAUAAAUGAAUAAGUGAUCCAAUUUUAUUGAUUAUAAGAAAAAAUUACCUUAGGGAUAACAGCGUAAUUUAUUUUUUUAGUUCAUAUAAAAAAAUGAGUUUGCGACCUCGAUGUUGGAUUAAGAUAAAAAUUAAGUGCAAAAGUUUAAAAUUUUGAUCUGUUCGAUCAUUAAAAUCUUACAUGAUCUGAGUUCAAACCGGUGUGAGCCAGGUUGGUUUCUAUCUUUUGAUUAGGUAAAUAUUUUAGUACGAAAGGAUCAAAUAUUUAAAUUAAAUUUUAUAAAAAUGAAUUUAUUAAUAGUGAAAAUAGAUAAGAGUGAUUUCGAUUAAAAUAAUAAAUAAAUAUAAUUUAUUUUUAAGAAAAAAAAUU
rnacentral:rRNA from 1 species